AAAAAAAAAAGUGAAUUUCCCCCUCCCUCUCGCAUACAAUGACUAAUCCAAAAUGGGGGGAGUAAGGGAGUUGUAGCCACUAGCAAGAUGCUAAACCUUUCCCCCCUGGCACUAAGAUUUUAGAUGACACUUUUUCAAUGACUCUAAAGAGAUAUGCACUUCAAAAUCAAAACUCGAAAAUGAUCUGAAAUAGAAAUUAGCAAGGACGCUGCUGCCUCCACCAAACUGAAUAGAAAACAUCUCAAGUCUUACUAGCUCUCUUAUAUUCUCACCAAGCCAGUCCCAAAACUGAUUCUCGCUAUGAAAAAAAUGAAGAGUGAAAAAAAAAAAGGCAAGAAUUUGGGAUCCUCCAAUACAUUUUCAGAAACAGGGAAAAAAAAUUCUUUAAUAUCCUUGGGUUUUUCUCAGUUCAUCUAUUUUGCAAGUUCUUCCAGGCUAUGGCCCAAGGAAGAUGAAGUGCAAGGGUUUCAACCGGCAGACUCCUCAACCGGAAUCCAAAAUGUUCCUCCCGCGGCCUUCUUGCUUGAAGAGCAGAGACAAAAUAAGAAAUCAGAACUCGGAAAAUACCUGGAGCCUGCCGUGAGAGCGACCGUGGGCCCUCGGCAGUGUGCUGGGACAGCCAGCUAUAGGAGAAAACCAAGGACAUAUACCUCUAUCAUUUGCCUGAAGAAGAACAGGAAUGCACACCUUGGCUGGAAAUCAGUGAUCAGGUACUGUCCUGCUGCCCACUGUGGUCCAUCAUCAAAGAAAAGAGUUCUUGAGCCAAAGAUGCUGAUUUGAUGGUGGAAGUGAUGGAGAAUAAGUAAGCUGCUUCGAUGAAGUCUGGAUUAUAUCACAAGAAAAACUACAGGCACGGGGAACAAUAGAAAUAAUUUGGGAUGUCCUAGAAAGGACUAGAGACUAGAACAUGAAAACCCGCUGUGUAAGACCAUUCCAGGCAGAGACAACAGCAAUUACUUUUCUCAUUGGUGUGGCAAAAAUACUGGAGAAAAGCAACUCAGGAGGUCACGUUGAUUUUGGCUGAGUGUUUAUACAAGGAUACAGACCAUCCCAGGUGAUGGCAUCAUCCUGGCAGCAGGAGGCUGAGGCAGCUGGUCAGACUUCAUCUGCAAUCAGGACGCAGAGGAAGAUGAACGCUUGGUGUUCAGCUUGCCUAGAAUGGGAUGGUGCCUUCUACAUUUAGGGUAGGUUUUCCCACUGCAACGAACCCAAUCAAAAUACUGCAAACUCCUUCACAAACAUGCUCAGAAGUUUGUCUCCUGGGUGAUUCAAGACCCUCUCAAGUUGGCAAUGCCAACCACCACCAAGUUCAAAGGCUCCAAGGUAGGCCUGCUGUGCUAGAGGGAGGGGAGAGGCACUGUGUGACCACAGCAGAGGGAAAAGGCAGAAAGAGGUGAGGGAAAGCCAACAUGGCCAUGUGAAGUACGUCUUAGGGUGCAUGGCGGUGGGUGGGCCAUGGCGCUUUUCUCUCAACGUCAGGGGACAUCUGCAGUGUUCUGAGCAGCACAGGCCAUCAAUUUUUGCGAUUAUCAUAAGUAUAGGAAGUACACACAGAGAGGAUAUACUUAUCCAGAUGUUUCUAGUCAUGCUCCAGGUAUAUCAAGGAGCCAGCCACAUCAUGACUGGAGGGAGGUAUGGCCCAGUGCCAGAAAUCAGGCUCAGGUGACAGGCUCAGCUGGAAAGGGGUACCCAUCUGUCACAAACAACCCUUGCUCUCUACUACUUGUCCAAUGUCUAUAGGUGGCAGAGAUAUUAAUACUGGAGCAUUAAGCAUCCACCAAGCAUGUGCUGCACCGGAGGACUCUCGCUUUGUGUGCUUUUUGAGCCAGUAACUAUCAGAAACAACUCCCACCAGCUCAUAAGGAACCCUACUGAGGUUUGGAUGUGAUCUGGCCUUCAAGAGCAGUGUGUUGGAAGCUUGGUGGGAAUGUGAGAGAUGGUGGUGAUACCCUUGAGAAGUGUCACCUGUUGGUACUAAAUGAUGUCACUUGAUUAUGACCCUUGGAAGAGGUUAAGGUAGUUUUCAUGGGAUCCUUCCAUUGAAAGGCAAUGUUAUAAAACAGCACACCUACCCCUCCCCAAUUUCACCAUGUGAGUUCUCUCCUGUUCCAUGCCUUUCUAUUUUUUGUGCCACCCAUCAAAACCAAGGCAGUGCUAGCACCAAGUCCUUGAAUCUCUAGAACUUUGACCUAAAUAAACCUCAUGUCUUCGUAAA